GCCCAAGGUGAUUCCCUCUCCAAAGGGCUGACUAUGUGCCCUUUUUAGGAACGUAGCAACUUGGAAGAAAGCCAGGCAUGUCCAAGGUCUCUGGGGAACAAGGAAUACUUGUUUCCUUUGCCCUCCUUUGGCAGCCUACAUAU
ensembl:snoRNA LOC120095401 small nucleolar RNA SNORA67